GGGCGUAAAGGGCUCGCAGGCGGUUUCUUAAGUCUGAUGUGAAAGCCCCCGGCUCAACCGGGGAGGGUCAUUGGAAACUGGGGAACUUGAGUGCAGAAGAGGAGAGUGGAAUUCCACGUGUAGCGGUGAAAUGCGUAGAGAUGUGGAGGAACACCAGUGGCGAAGGCGACUCUCUGGUCUGUAACUGACGCUGAGGAGCGAAAGCGUGGGGAGCGAACAGGAUUAGAUACCCUGGUAGUCCACGCCGUAAACGAUGAGUGCUAAGUGUUAGGGGGUUUCCGCCCCUUAGUGCUGCAGCUAACGCAUUAAGCACUCCGCCUGGGGAGUACGGUCGCAAGACUGAAACUCAAAGGAAUUGACGGGGGCCCGCACAAGCGGUGGAGCAUGUGGUUUAAUUCGAAGCAACGCGAAGAACCUUACCAGGUCUUGACAUCCUCUGACAAUCCUAGAGAUAGGACGUCCCCUUCGGGGGCAGAGUGACAGGUGGUGCAUGGUUGUCGUCAGCUCGUGUCGUGAGAUGUUGGGUUAAGUCCCGCAACGAGCGCAACCCUUGAUCUUAGUUGCCAGCAUUCAGUUGGGCACUCUAAGGUGACUGCCGGUGACAAACCGGAGGAAGGUGGGGAUGACGUCAAAUCAUCAUGCCCCUUAUGACCUGGGCUACACACGUGCUACAAUGGACAGAACAAAGGGCAGCGAAACCGCGAGGUUAAGCCAAUCCCACAAAUCUGUUCUCAGUUCGGAUCGCAGUCUGCAACUCGACUGCGUGAAGCUGGAAUCGCUAGUAAUCGCGGAUCA
rnacentral:rRNA from 1 species